UCCUUCGGAUCAUGUAAGAUGCAGGCAACACACAUACAUACUUUUUUGUAUAUGCCAUAUAUAUUAUACAUAGUGCACGCAUACACAUAUACAAAUAAGGAGCUUUAUAUAUAUAAAUUUUUCCCCUUGUUUGAUGGUUGAGUCAUACUAAUAGUUUUUGUUCACAACAUCAGACAGACGACAAAUCUCAGAUUACAGAGUUGGAGGAUCACAUCAAAAAGUUAGAGGAAAUAAUUGGAAAGAAGGAUAAGGAAAUAAAGAGACUUCGAAGGGCAAAUUUACUACUACAAGACGGACUGUCAGACACAAUAUAUAAAUGUGUCAAGGAAGCAGUCAAGGCUGUCCAGCAGUCAUCCAGUUCUUCCAACCAAUUACAGUCUAAAGAAGGAGAGAGUGUGUCUUUGAAAAAUCAUACAGCAAACUCUGUGGGACUUGACUACACUCAGCGGUACAGCGGUUUCAAAAAAAUGACUAGAAACGUGAUAGACUCCCUCUUCCCUCUUGAAGAAAUGUCAACAUGUUCAGU